UCCGGCAGAGUACACAGCUGGGAGGUUC
rnacentral:sRNA from 1 species